CGCCUGUUUUUCAAAAACAUCGCCUCUUGCAAGACCAAAGAAUAAGAGGUCCCGCCUGCCCACUGAUUUUUAAUUCAACGGCCGCGGUAUUUUGACCGUGCUAAGGUAGCAUAAUCACUUGUCUUUUAAAUGGAGACCCGUAUGAAAGGCUUAACGAGGGCUUAACUGUCUCUUUUUUCCAGUCAAUGAAACUGAUCUCCCCGUGCAGACGCGGGGAUAUAACCAUAAGACGAGAAGACCCUAUGGAGCUUUAGACAUAAGGGCAAACUACUCUAAAUACCUCUAAACAAGAACUAAAUUUAAUAAAAACUUGCCCCCGUCUUCGGUUGGGGCGACCCUGGGGUAAUACAAAACCCCCAUGUGGAACAAGAGGACCUACAACUUCCUAACCUCUCAAAAACCAGAAAAACAAUUCUAAUUAACAGAAUCUCUGACCAAAACUGAUCCGGCCUAUAGCCGAUUAACGGAACAAGUUACCCUAGGGAUAACAGCGCUAUCCCCUUUCAAAGUCCAUAUAGACAAGGGGGCUUACGACCUCGAUGUUGGAUCAGGACAUCCUAAUGGUGCAGCCGCUAUUAAGGGUUCGUUUGUUCAACGAUUAAAGUCCUACGUGAUCUGAGUYMAGACCGGAUAGU
rnacentral:rRNA from 1 species